UAGGGAAUCUUCCACAAUGGGCGCAAGCCUGAUGGAGCAACACCGCGUGAGUGAAGAAGGGUUUCGGCUCGUAAAGCUCUGUUGUUAGAGAAGAACGUGCGUGAGAGCAACUGUUCACGCAGUGACGGUAUCUAACCAGAAAGUCACGGCUAACUACGUUCCAG
rnacentral:rRNA from 1 species